GGAAAGCCUGGCGGGAUCGGGGACGAAGACCCGUUCCCGUUGGGUGGCCUCGAGGGUGCUCUUCACGUUCAGCACGUAAGGUUUUUCG
rnacentral:tRNA from 1 species